rnacentral:rRNA from 1 species
UACAGAGGUCUCAAGCGUUGUUCGGAUUCAUUGGGCGUAAAGGGUGCGUAGGCGGCGCGGUAAGUCGGGGUGUGAAAUCUCGGGAGCUUAACUCCGAAACUGCAUUCGAUACUGCCGUGCUUGAGGACUGGAGAGGAGACUGGAAUUUACGGUGUAGCGGUGAAAUGCGUAGAUAUCGUAAGGAAGACCAGUGGCGAAGGCGGGUCUCUGGACAGUUCCUGACGUGAGGCACGAAGGUCAGGGGAGCAAACGGG